AAGGAAUAUUGGUCAAUGGGCGAAAGCCUGAACCAGCCAUCCCGCGUGCAGGAUGACUGCCCUAUGGGUUGUAAACUGCUUUAGACUGAGAAGAAACCCCUCAAUGCGUUGGGGGCUGACGGUAUCAGUAGAAUAAGCACCGGCUAACUCCGUGCCAGCAGCCGCGGUAAUACGGAGGGUGCAAGCGUUAUCCGGAAUCACUGGGUUUAAAGGGUGCGUAGGCGGCUUGAUAAGUCAGAGGUGAAAGCCCGCAGCUUAACUGCGGAACGGCCUUUGAUACUGUUGAGCUUGAAACAGGACGAGGUUGGCGGAAUGUGGCAUGUAGCGGUGAAAUGCAUAGAUAUGCCAUAGAACACCGAUUGCGAAGGCAGCUGGCUAGACCUGAUUUGACGCUGAGGCACGAAAGCGUGGGGAGCGAAC
rnacentral:rRNA from 1 species